rnacentral:rRNA from 1 species
GCUUAACACAUGCAAGUCGAGCGAGAAUCGUUUAUUGAAGGCUUCGGCUGGAAAUAGAUGAGGAAAGCGGCGAACGGGUGAGUAACGCGUGGGCAACCUGGCCUUAAGAAAAGGAUAGCCCCCGGAAACGGGGAGUAAUACUUUAUGAGAAUAGAAAAGGGCAUCCUAUUUCUAUUCAAAGCGCAAGCGCUUAAGGAUGGGCCCGCGUAUCAUUAGCUAGUUGGUGAGAAAACAGCCCACCAAGGCAACGAUGAUUAGCCGGUCUGAGAGGGCGAACGGCAAGAUUGGAACUGAGAGACGGUCCAAACUCAUACGGGAGGCAGCAGUGGGGAAUAGUGUGCAAUGGAGAAGAACACUGACGCAGCAAUACCGCGUGGGCGAAGAAGGUCUUCGGAUCGUAAAGCUCUGUUAUCAGGGAAGAAGAAAAUGACGGUACCUGAUGAGCAAGUCCCGGCUAACUACGUGCCAGCCGCCGCAGUAACAC